AACGAAGGCUGGCGGCAUGCCUAACACAUGCAAGUCGAACGAGACCUUCGGGUCUAGUGGCGCACGGGUGCGUAACGCGUGGGAACCUGCCCUUAGGUUCGGAAUAACUCCCCGAAAGGGGUGCUAAUACCGGAUAAUGUCUUCGGACCAAAGAUUUAUCGCCUUUGGAUGGGCCCGCGUUGGAUUAGCUAGUUGGUAGGGUAAAAGCCUACCAAGGCGACGAUCCAUAGCUGGUCUGGGAGGAUGGGCAGCCACACUGGGACUGAGACGCGGCCCAGACUGGUGCGGGAGGCGGCAGUGGGGAAUAGUGGACGAGGGGCGGAAGCCUGAUCCAGCAAUGCCGCGUGGGUGAUGAAGGCCUUAGGGUUGUAAAGCUCUUUUACCCGGGAUGAUAAUGACAGUACCGGGAGAAUGAGCGCCGGCUAACUCCGUG
rnacentral:rRNA from 1 species